GACUGGGGUGAAGUCGUAACAAGGUAACCGUAGGGGAACCUGCGGUUGGAUCACCUCCUUA
rnacentral:rRNA from 6 species